AGCUCAGCGGUAGAGCACUACGUUGACAUCGUAGGGGUCACUGGUUCGAUCCCAGUA
rnacentral:tRNA from 1 species